rnacentral:rRNA from 1 species
ACUUAAAUUGAAGAGUUUGAUCAUGGCUCAGAUUGAACGCUGGCGGCAGGCCUAACACAUGCAAGUCGAGCGGUAGCACAGAGAGCUUGCUCUCGGGUGACGAGCGGCGGACGGGUGAGUAAUGUCUGGGAAACUGCCUGAUGGAGGGGGAUAACUACUGGAAACGGUAGCUAAUACCGCAUAACGUCGCAAGACCAAAGUGGGGGACCUUCGGGCCUCAUGCCAUCAGAUGUGCCCAGAUGGGAUUAGCUAGUAGGUGGGGUAAUGGCUCACCUAGGCGACGAUCCCUAGCUGGUCUGAGAGGAUGACCAGCCACACUGGAACUGAGACACGGUCCAGACUCCUACGGGAGGCAGCAGUGGGGAAUAUUGCACAAUGGGCGCAAGCCUGAUGCAGCCAUGCCGCGUGUAUGAAGAAGGCCUUCGGGUUGUAAAGUACUUUCAGCGAGGAGGAAGGCGUUAAGGUUAAUAACCUUGGCGAUUGACGUUACUCGCAGAAGAAGCACCGGCUAACUCCGUGCCAGCAGCCGCGGUAAUACGGAGGGUGCAAGCGUUAAUCGGAAUUACUGGGCGUAAAGCGCACGCAGGCGGUCUGUCAAGUCGGAUGUGAAAUCCCCGGGCUCAACCUGGGAACUGCAUUCGAAACUGGCAGGCUAGAGUCUUGUAGAGGGGGGUAGAAUUCCAGGUGUAGCGGUGAAAUGCGUAGAGAUCUGGAGGAAUACCGGUGGCGAAGGCGGCCCCCUGGACAAAGACUGACGCUCAGGUGCGAAAGCGUGGGGAGCAAACAGGAUUAGAUACCCUGGUAGUCCACGCCGUAAACGAUGUCGACUUGGAGGUUGUGCCCUUGAGGCGUGGCUUCCGGAGCUAACGCGUUAAGUCGACCGCCUGGGGAGUACGGCCGCAAGGUUAAAACUCAAAUGAAUUGACGGGGGCCCGCACAAGCGGUGGAGCAUGUGGUUUAAUUCGAUGCAACGCGAAGAACCUUACCUACUCUUGACAUCCAGAGAACUUAGCAGAGAUGCUUUGGUGCCUUCGGGAACUCUGAGACAGGUGCUGCAUGGCUGUCGUCAGCUCGUGUUGUGAAAUGUUGGGUUAAGUCCCGCAACGAGCGCAACCCUUAUCCUUUGUUGCCAGCGGUUCGGCCGGGAACUCAAAGGAGACUGCCAGUGAUAAACUGGAGGAAGGUGGGGAUGACGUCAAGUCAUCAUGGCCCUUACGAGUAGGGCUACACACGUGCUACAAUGGCAUAUACAAAGAGAAGCGACCUCGCGAGAGCAAGCGGACCUCAUAAAGUAUGUCGUAGUCCGGAUUGGAGUCUGCAACUCGACUCCAUGAAGUCGGAAUCGCUAGUAAUCGUAGAUCAGAAUGCUACGGUGAAUACGUUCCCGGGCCUUGUACACACCGCCCGUCACACCAUGGGAGUGGGUUGCAAAAGAAGUAGGUAGCUUAACCUUCGGGAGGGCGCUUACCACUUUGUGAUUCAUGACUGGGGUGAAGUCGUAACAAGGUAACCGUAGGGGAACCUGCGGUUGGAUCACCUCCUUACCUUAAAGAA